UACGUAGGGGGCUAGCGUUGUCCGGAAUCAUUGGGCGUAAAGCGCGUGUAGGCGGUCCGGUAAGUCCGCUGUGAAAGUCGGGGGCUCAACCCUCGGAUGCCGGUGGAUACUGUCGGGCUUGAGUACGGAAGAGGCGAGUGGAAUUCCUGGUGUAGCGGUGAAAUGCGCAGAUAUCAGGAGGAACACCAAUUGCGAAGGCAGCUCGCUGG
rnacentral:rRNA from 1 species